AUUGAACGCUGGCGGCAGGCCUAACACAUGCAAGUCGAACGGUAACAGGUAACAGCUUGCUGUUUCGCUGACGAGUGGCGGACGGGUGAGUAAUGUCUGGGAAACUGCCUGAUGGAGGGGGAUAACUACUGGAAACGGUAGCUAAUACCGCAUAACGUCGCAAGACCAAAGAGGGGGACCUUCGGGCCUCUUGCCAUCGGAUGUGCCCAGAUGGGAUUAGCUAGUAGGUGGGGUAACGGCUCACCUAGGAGACGAUCCCUAGCUGGUCUGAGAGGAUGAACAGCCACACUGGAACUGAGACACGGUCCAGACUCCUACGGGAGGCAGCAGUGGGGAAUAUUGCACAAUGGGCGCAAGCCUGAUGCAGCCAUGCCGCGUGUAUGAAGAAGGCCUUCGGGUUGUAAAGUACUUUCAGCGGGGAGGAAGGGAGUAAAGUUAAUACCUUUGCUCAUUGACGUUACCCGCAGAAGAAGCACCGGCUAACUCCGUGCCAGCCGCCGCAGUAA
rnacentral:rRNA from 1 species